rnacentral:rRNA from 1 species
UACGGAGGGGGCGAGCGUUAUUCGGAAUUAUUGGGCGUAAAGGGCGCGUAGGCGGCUCCGCAAGUCAAAGGUGAAAUCCCUCGGCUCAACUGAGGAACUGCCUUUGAAACUGUGGAGCUUGAGUCCGGGAGGGGGUAGCGGAAUUCCCAGUGUAGCGGUGAAAUGCGUAGAUAUUGGGAGGAACACCAGUGGCGAAGGCGGCUACCUGGACCGGAACUGACGCUGAUGCGCGAAAGCGUGGGUAGCAAACAGG